AGAAAGUUCCUUCGGGAGCGAUUAAAGUGGCGCACGGGUGAGUAACGCGUAGACAAUCUGCCCUUCAGUCUGGGACAACUUUUCGAAAGGAGAGCUAAUACCGGAUAACAAUGUUUAACCUAAGUUAAGUAUUUGAAAGCUUUAUGUGCUGAAGGAGGGGUCUGCGUCCCAUUAGCUAGUUGGUAAGGUAAAGGCUUACCAAGGCGACGAUGGGUAGCGGGUUUGAGAGGACGAUCCGCCACACUGGAACUGAGACACGGUCCAGACUCCUACGGGAGGCAGCAGUGGGGAAUAUUGCACAAUGGAGGCAACUCUGAUGCAGCAAUGUCGCGUGAGUGAAGAAGGCCCUUGGGUCGUAAAGCUCUUUUAUGGGGGAAGAUGAUGACGGUACCCCAAGAAUAAGCACCGGCUAACUAUGUGCCAGCAGCCGCGGUAAUACAUAGGGUGCGAGCGUUGUUCGGAAUUACUGGGCGUAAAGGGCGCGCAGGCGGAAUAGUAAGUCGGAGGUGAAAGCCCGGGGCUCAACCCCGGAGGGUCUUUCGAAACUGCUAAUCUAGAGAGGGUCAGGGGCCGGCAGAAUUCCUGGUGUAGAGGUGAAAUUCGUAGAUAUCAGGAGGAAUACCGGUGGCGAAGGCGGCCGGCUGGGGCCACUCUGACGCUGAGGCGCGAAAGCGUGGGGAGCAAACAGGAUUAGAUACCCUGGUAGUCCACGCCGUAAACGAUGAGCACUGGACGUCCGGAGGGUUCGACCCUUCUGGGUGUCUCAGCUAACGCAUUAAGUGCUCCGCCUGGGAGUA
rnacentral:rRNA from 1 species